rnacentral:misc_RNA from 1 species
ACACCAUCAGAACUUGGGCUUGUACUCUUGUAGUUUCAUGUGUCUGAAGGUGCACGCUGUGAUUUCUAUUGAUGAUAAGGUCUGUGGGUUGCAUUUUUUCCCCUUUCCUGAGCAGCCAUGGCAGCAGCAAAAAAAAUGAGAAUUUGCAGUGUAUUUGAGAACCAGGUCUGGUCCAGUGGUUUUAUACAUCCUAAGUUGGGACAAUAUCAAUGUUGUUUACCAUUCAAAUUGUUAUCUGGACACGAAUGUUUUUGAGAGCUUGAAUACCCUUUCCAUUCUUGAAUUUAGCUAUCUCUCAUUUUCUUUUCCUGCAUAAUUCUGUGGGACAUCCAUGCUAUGGGCCGC